GAUGAAGAACGUAGCGAAAUGCGAUAAGUAAUGUGAAUUGCAGAAUUCAGUGAAUCAUCGAAUCUUUGAACGCACAUUGCGCCCGCCAGUAUUCUGGCGGGCAUGCCUGUUCGAGCGUCAUUUCAACCCUCAAGCCCCCGGGCUUGGUGUUGGGGAUCGGCGUGCCCUCGCGGCGCGCCGUCCCCUAAAUCUAGUGGCGGUCUCGCUGUAGCUUCCUCUGCGUAGUAGCAACACCCGCACUGGAUCGCAGCGCGGCCACGCCGUUAAACCCCCCACUUCUGAAAGUUUGACCUCGGAUCAGGUAGGAAUACCCGCUGAACUUAAGCAUAUCAAUAAGCGGAGGA
rnacentral:misc_RNA from 1 species